rnacentral:rRNA from 1 species
GAUGAACGCUGGCGGCGUGCCUAAUACAUGCAAGUCGAGCGAACGGACGAGAAGCUUGCUUCUCUGAUGUUAGCGGCGGACGGGUGAGUAACACGUGGAUAACCUACCUAUAAGACUGGGAUAACUUCGGGAAACCGGAGCUAAUACCGGAUGAUAUUUUGAACCGCAUGGUUCAAAAGUGAAAGACGGUCUUGCUGUCACUUAUAGAUGGAUCCGCGCUGCAUUAGCUAGUUGGUAAGGUAACGGCUUACCAAGGCAACGAUGCAUAGCCGACCUGAGAGGGUGAUCGGCCACACUGGAACUGAGACACGGUCCAGACUCCUAUGGGAGGCAGCAGUAGGGAAUCUUCCGCAAUGGGCGAAAGCCUGACGGAGCAACGCCGCGUGAGUGAUGAAGGUCUUCGGAUCGUAAAACUCUGUUAUUAGGGAAGAACAUAUGUGCAAGUAACUGUGCACAUCUUGACGGUACCUAAUCAGAAAGCCACGGCUAACUACGUG